rnacentral:pre_miRNA from 1 species
CUUCUCUUUUGAGGCAACAUGCUUCUUUAUAUCCCCAUAGGGAUAACAGUGCUAUGGAAUGUAAGGAAGUGUGUGGUUUCGGGGAGAUG